AACGAACGCUGGCGGCAGGCUUAACACAUGCAAGUCGAACGGGCGUAGCAAUACGUCAGUGGCAGACGGGUGAGUAACACGUGGGAACCUUCCUCGUAGUACGGAACAACUCAGGGAAACUUGAGCUAAUACCGUAUACGUCCGAGAGGAGAAAGAUUUAUCGCUAUGAGACGGGCCCGCGUCCGAUUAGGUAGUUGGUGGGGUAACGGCCUACCAAGCCGACGAUCGGUAGCUGAUCUGAGAGGAUGAUCAGCCACACUGGGACUGAGACACGGCCCAGACUCCUACGGGAGGCAGCAGUGGGGAAUCUUGGACAAUGGGCGCAAGCCUGAUCCAGCCAUGCCGCGUGAGUGAAGAAGGCCUUAGGGUUGUAAAGCUCUUUUGCCAGGGACGAUAAUGACGGUACCUGGAGAAUAAGCCCCGGCAAACUUCGUGCCAGCCGCCGCAGUAACAC
rnacentral:rRNA from 1 species